CAGAACUCCCGCCACUCUUUAUCUAGAGGACUGCACAGCUACAGUGAACAGGAGAGCAACUGCAAGGCAAAGUAAGGAAGGAGAGACACAGACAGCUGCUGCAUACGUUUCUCUAUAUGUUACUCAUUGUGAAGUCUGUUUGCUAACGAGGUUACCUACCACCAUUUGCUGGUGCUGUCACAUGUGAAAUAACUGCUACAGCUGAUCCAAUUACUCUUCAGCUCCACUGUCUGAACCAUCUGCUGCAACCUUCCUGCUUGAAAGGCAACUCUUUUCUCUUCCAGACUGGGAACAGAACAGGAAGGAGAAGAGAUGGAGACUGCAUUAUACUCUAGUAGAGUUCCCUAAAGUCAGGAGGGAAAAGAACCUAUGGCUAAAGGAACGAGUGUAGGCUCUCAGAUAUAGCAUUAAAUAGGUGCUACAUGAAUAGGUGCUACAUGAAUUUUGAAAUUGUUAACAUUUUUUUUCAACUGUUAGACAUAUAUUUAAAAAUUUUAAAUUUUAUUUAAAAAAAAUGCAGUAAUUCUUUAACUGUAGAGAGGAGUAGUAUCAGAAUUGAGGAAGACUGAAAACUUAAUCAAAUUUAAUCCAUUGUUAUGUUCAAUUACACUUGGCCUUCUAAUACAUUUUUUCACUGGACUUAAUAUUCUAAAACCAAAACCUGGGGACUAAGAAGGAACUUGGGUAUCUGAAACAGGAUUUGAACUGCAGCAUCCAAUAGUAUACUAAUUCCCACUUUCUCCAGAAACAGACUACUCAUUGAGUGCUACAGCUUUUUCAAAUCCCUUGUUCAACCAAAGGAACAUGCAUUUGAAAUUUGCAUUUGUAGUGACAAAAGCAAAACAGAUUCACUUGUGCCAAAACAACUAUUUCUAAUUGUACCCUGCUGCAGCUUUUUCUCCCUUCCAUGUUCUUUGGUACAAUCUUUUAGAGUGCAUCCACUUCCAAUUAACUACUGAAACAGAUUAUAUAAAAAUAACCUUUCAGAAAUAUCUGCACCAUAACUUCCUUUCCUGUCAUCAGUUAUUCUAUGUACCUUUUGAAAUUUCCUGCGUUUGAAGCUCUCCUUAUAAGGGGUAGAAUUCAAUUGUGAAAUAAAGGCUUUAAUCCUAAAAUACAAGUAGAAAAGUAAUGUUAAUAUUUCAUUGUGUUUUCUCCACAUCUGCCAGUAAUUACUAUCCUUUCAACACAAACAUUCUCAACUCCUUGUUCUCUUAAUUUUCACUAAAAAGUAAGAAAAUUCUAAAAGAUUGUUGCAACACAGCAAAUAAAAUUUCAAGUAAAUGCUUUUCAAAUAAAAAAGGAAGCAAGAGCAGUAAAGCUGUUGAGUUCACAGUGCUCUUGAGCAUCACUCCCAAAAUUGCUUUGUUUCUUGGAUCUACAUGCAGCUCCAGGUAGAGCCUAUCAGGGACCUGCAUUUAUCUGCCCACCCAUUCAUCACCACAUAAAUCACAUCCUAUUUCCAAUCUUAUACAGAUAGAACAUGAGCAGCUGCUUUCCAUCUAUAUAAAUAAAUACACUAGUAUUUGCAGCAAUGCUGCAUGAGCCUUUAUACAUCACAUUUGACAGACAUCAAGUCUACCAGGAAGUUAAGAGAAAGGUUACAGGGAUUCGCAAUACCUAUUAUUGGAGAGAGUAUUUUAACUUUUUGCCUGCCUCAGACCAUGAACAUGAUCAUCAUUGGCAUAGUCUAGUUUGCCUUAUGUGAUGGAUGCAGAGGCAGGAUUGACUAAACAUAAUGUACAGACAUUCAUGCAAGUGUCGAUGCAGAAUAUGGACAUAAAACUACAGUAUAUUUUGGUAAUCAAAAAGUAUCACAACAGGGGUAUGGUAUCUGCAAGCAUGACAUAUUUAUAAAGCAAUACUGCAAACAGCAUGUAAUUUUCCGACCAUUUUUGAACAUGAAGGUUACAGAUACUGAAAACAGCUUAUUAUAUUCUGUUUCAGAUACACAUUUUCUGAAAAACGUGAGGGUUUUUUUUAAUCAACUGUCAGAUUCUACAAAGAUUAUUAUCAGGAUUGCUGUUAAAGAGAAAAUAACAUGCUUUUAAGACAAUAGAAAAUGCAAGUGCAGAGCAUGUCUGGCACUGCUGGGUUUGAUUGUUGUAAAUUGUUUAUGAAUUGUCAUUCCUUAUUUUCAUCAAAAGCUUUUCUUGCAGCAGAGAAGUGUGCUUCAGCAUGCAAUUUUCCCUCUCUGGAAUGCUGAGAAUAUGCCGCAGUUACUUCGCUUGGGUUACACUGCAGUAUUUUUUUUUUAAAGGCAAGCACCAGAAUAUGCCUGUUCCACUGGGCAACAGCUCCCACUGAUCAGGAAGGAAAAAGAAAAUCUGCGAAGUAGCACAGACUGCAUGCUGCCCCACAAAACCUAGCUCUGCUCAGAGAAUGAGAGAUGUGUACCAUCCUCCACUGAAAAUGAUGUUGCUAAUGCAGAGGUAAGUAUGAAGAAGUUGAACCAGCAGAGAAAGAACAACUUAAGAAGUAUGAACCCUCUUACAGCAGGAUGUAGGUCAGGAAUAUUAUCACAAGUUGAACCUCAAGAAAAGAGCUUGCAGGUCUGUGCUGUUCUGAGUUGCAGCUGGGAUCAAACUCCAGGCUAGAAAAAGAAUACUGGUAAUACACACAAGGACUCCCCUGUCCAAAAAAGCAGCUGUUUCAGACCACACUACCAGAGCCACUGUACUUAAUCAGCACUGCGGAACGACUCUCAGCUUCAAAACCUUCCAUGUUCCUUCCUUCCUAGUCAUACAAUAGGAAUAAAUAAUUUAAUCAAGUAUUCAUCAGGAGACGGGAACAGCCUAUUAGUCUGUGCCUGCAAUCCUCCCCCCUCGCUUCCUUGCAUCUCUUAAAACUCCAGACAAGGUGGCAGGGAUGGAGCGGGGCUGAAGAUGACAUGAAACCCCUUGGACUAGGGGAUGGCAAACCUGGCCCUCGGCAAAUCUUGCCACCCUGUGCCCACCCCGAAGGGGGGAUGCCCAGCAGCAAGCCCUGCCUGCCCCCCCAACACGCCCUUCUCUAGCAGGACCUGCUGAGGAGCCGCCGCGUCUCGCAGAGAGGCCAGAGCCAACACAUAGGAGGGAUUCGUCCUGCUUGUCUGCAACAGCUGCAUGUGGCAAACAACAAUGACAACACAGCAACCGAUCAGAUUCUAACAAAAAGUAGAUCUUCAGUCCACUUAGAAGUUGUGGUCACCACUGCUUAGCAACCAAGGGGACAUGAUGGCACAGAGGAAAAUCCUCUGUCUAGACCUCACCCCGAUCCACCUUCAUGGCUGCAAACUAUCUUUCACAGCAAAUUAAGAAGAAUGUGUUUUCUUUGUUGCCUCAGAGAUACCAAGUGGGACCUCAGAUGUAGCUCGGUGUAAGCUGAAUUCUCCUUCCUCAGUGGCUGUAACUGGGGAGAAUUUAACAAGCUGGAGACAAAGAGAAUCUGAGACUUGCCAGUAAAACAGGUCUCCAGGUGUAAACGCAAGUGUUUUUUAAAAGAAAAAGAAAAACAACAGCCAGAUGCCACGGUGAUGGGGAAAAGCAAUGGAAAGACAAGGGAAUCAACGGAUACUACCUACUUCUGCUCAGUGCUCCAGCCGCGCCCCAGGCGAGGAGGGGGCAGAGGGACUCGCGAGCGGCAGCUACAAGCAAAGUCCGGGCAAAACCCGGCAAACGAGACGGAGGACGGACAAUACUCACUUCUCCCAUGCCACAGGUUAUGAUCUCAGGAUUACUCCUUGAGCCUGAAGUCGUCCUCCUCUGGGGAAACCUACUCCUUGUUGGGACCUGUCCAUGUCACAUGUGCAGAAAUGCACAAAGCAAGUAACUCCGAUGCAGUGUUUUG